CGUGAAUGUCAGCGUCAGUGUGUCACUGAAUAAACACGACCAAGCAGGGAAGCCGUAUCCGUCUUCUCUUGACAAAUAACAUUAGCCGUUCAUGUCUCUCUCAGGGUACGCUGCAUUCCCCGUGGCCGCAUAAGCAAGGGAGAGGAGUCACAACACCUCUGGGAAUCAAGUGCAUCUGAAAUGGCUCGGAAGAGGAUUUCUGCCGUGUGUUUCUGGUUUGUGUUACGGAAUCAGCUCUGAUGAAAUGUGAGUCCAUGUUAAAGGAAUAGUUCAACAUUUUGGGGAAGCAAAUGCUUCGUGGCUUUCUUGGUCGAGAGUAAGGUGAGAAAAUCAACACCCCUCUCGUAUCGGACUGCUGCUGGAGCCACGCUGGCCUGCCCGGAUUCCUCCGGCGAGAUAAGCGAUAAGUGUACGUUGUUGAGCUAUUCCUUUCAUUGUUACUGACACCGCGGACCACAUGGACUUGGCAGCACCGCCGACAACUCAAAGAAAAGGCGCAAGGGCACAACCUUUGUGGUUGUACACCGUGGCAAGAAAAGAGAAGAGACUCGCACCAAAGGAAGAACUCAGAGAGGAACAGUGGGUAAAUCCUGGGCAACAAGUUCUGUCCCCGACGCUCACGACUGGCCAAUUAUAAUUCCCCCUUUCUGUAAAUACUACAUCAGUUCUUCCCACUCUGACUCACUCCUCU
ensembl:lncRNA